rnacentral:rRNA from 1 species
GUGGACGCCAGUCUGCAUGGAGCCGACCUUGAAAUACCACCCUUUAAUGUUUGAUGUUCUAACGUGGACCCGUUACCCGGGUUGCGGACAGUGUCUGGUGGGUAGUUUGACUGGGGCGGUCUCCUCCUAAAGAGUAACGGAGGAGCACGAAGGUUGGCUAAUCCUGGUCGGACAUCAGGAGGUUAGUGCAAUGGCAUAAGCCAGCUUGACUGCGAGCGUGACGGCGCGAGCAGGUGCGAAAGCAGGUCAUAGUGAUCCGGUGGUUCUGAAUGGAAGGGCCAUCGCUCAACGGAUAAAAGGUACUCCGGGGAUAACAGGCUGAUACCGCCCAAGAGUUCAUAUCGACGGCGGUGUUUGGCACCUCGAUGUCGGCUCAUCACAUCCUGGGGCUGAAGUAGGUCCCAAGGGUAUGGCUGUUCGCCAUUUAAAGUGGUACGCGAGCUGGGUUUAGAACGUCGUGAGACAGUUCGGUCCCUAUCUGCCGUGGGCGCUGGAGAACUGAGGGGGGCUGCUCCUAGUACGAGAGGACCGGAGUGGACGCAUCACUGGUGUUCGGGUUGUCAUGCCAAUGGCACUGCCCGGUAGCUAAAUGCGGAAGAGAUAAGUGCUGAAAGCAUCUAAGCACGAAACUUGCCCCGAGAUGAGUUCUCCCUGAGACUUUAGGUCUCCUGAAGGAACGUUGAAGACGACGACGUUGAUAGGCCGGGUGUGUAAGCGCAGCGAUGCGUUGAGCUAACCGGUACUAAUGAACCGUGAGGCUUAACCUUACAA